ensembl:snRNA U5 U5 spliceosomal RNA
AUACUCCAAUUUCUCUGUAAAUUUUAUAAAUCUUUUGCUUUUUACUAAACAUUUCCAUGGAGAGGAACAAUUCUGAGUCUUAGUCCAAUUUUUUGAAGCCCUGUUUCUGUAGGACU